GUUUUGACUGGCGAGACCACUGGCAGGGUCAUUUUAUGGCAAGGCAUUCUUUGCGAGGAAAGAAGUGCACAGGCAAUUUAUCAUUGGCAUACAUUGCCCGUGGCAUGUUUGGCUUUCACAAAAUCUGGAAGUCAUUUCUAUUCUGGAGGUCAUGAGCGAGUGCUCGUUAAAUGGACUGUUGAUAAUCCAAAUCACCGUAGUACUCUUCCCCGUUUGCCUGGUGGUGUUUGUCAUAUAGCAGUUGGCCCAGAAAAUCAUAGGGUUGCAAUUUGCACUCAGGAUAAUGGUGUUCAAAUUUUAGAUGCACAAAAUAGAAUAAUAUCAUGUAUUCAGCACUUUGCUUGGGGUGUUUAUGUGGAUUUGAAAGACUCUGUAAAUGUACCGAAAACAAAUGCUGAACCACCUUUUCCAGCCGGUUUAGUAUAUGAUCCAACUACACAAUCCAUAGUUCUAAAUGGCCAAAC